GGAGGUGUAGCUCAGUGGAAGAGCAUAGGACUGCAGAUCCCAAGUUCAAACCUGGGCACUUCCA
rnacentral:tRNA from 1 species